rnacentral:rRNA from 1 species
GGCGGCGUGCUUACACAUGCAAGUCGAACGAGAACGGGUUAUAGCUUGCUAUAACUGUCAGCUAAGUGGCGCACGGGUGAGUAAUGUAUAGUUAACCUGCCCUCUAGAAAGGAAUAACAGUUGGAAACGACUGCUAAUGCCCUAUAUGCCUUUAAGACAUAAGUCUGCAAGGGAAACGCUUUAGUGCUAGAGGAUGGGACUGUAUGGUAUCAGCUAGUUGGUGAGGUAAAGGCUCACCAAGGCAAUGACGCCUAACUGGUUUGAGAGGAUGAUCAGUCACACUGGAACUGAGACACGGUCCAGACUCCUACGGGAGGCAGCAGUGGGGAAUAUUGCACAAUGGAGGAAACUCUGAUGCAGCAACGCCGCGUGGAGGAUGACACUUUUCGGAGCGUAAACUCCUUUUAUAUAGGAAGAUAAUGACGGUACUAUAUGAAUAAGCACCGGCUAACUCCGUGCCAGCAGCCGCGGUAAUACGGAGGGUGCAAGCGUUACUCGGAAUCACUGGGCGUAAAGAGCGUGUAGGCGGGUUAAUAAGUUUGA